ensembl:lncRNA
AUGCUCUUUUGCUGGCUGGUUCACCAUUUACUGUGGGGGUUGCUGAGGAGAUUCAAGAUUCAAGAUUCAAGCUAUCCUACAGUACCCGCCACAUCAGAACUUUUCCAUGUCCCAACCGUCAUGUCAGGAGUUGUUCACAUCACGCCAGCCAAGCCAAGGCCUACUCACAUCAUGUCUGCCAAGCCACAGCCUUCUCACGUCAUGUCUGCUACGCCAAAGCCUGCUAAUGUCAUGCCUGCUACUCCAGGACCUGCUCACAACAUGCCAGUUAAGUCACAGUUUACUCCUAUCAUGUCUACCAAGUCAAAGCCUGAUCACAUCAUGUCUGCCAAGCCAGAAUCCGCUAACAUCAUGUCUGCUACCCCAGGGUUUGCUCACGUCAUGCCUGCCAAGCCAGCACCUGUUCACGUCAUGCCUGCUACGCCAGAGCCUACUCAUAUCAUGCCAGUCUCUCAAGAGAUUCUCCACAACAUGGAAAAACUUCGUCGCAAGAUGGCCGCCACACAAGAGUCUCUUCACAAAAUGGCCACCUUUCUAGAGUCUCGACACGUCGCAGGUGAUCCUCCAGAGUCUCGUCAUGAAAUGGCCACCAUUUCAGAGCCUCGUCCCAUCAUAGCUGCCAUUUCAGAGUCUGCUCAUGCCAUGCCUGAGUCCCCGGCCAAGAUGGCCGCAACGCCUGAGUCCUCCACAGAUGCGGAGCUUGGGCCAGGACUGAUUGCCAGUAUGAUGGACCCACCAUUGAUGUCGGUGCAAGCAGCUGGCAUCUCCAGGGCCUCUGCACUGGCUGUCACAGAGACUAUUCCCCUGACCUCAGUGCUUCCUGUUACGGCAGUCGCCAUUUUGAGUGUGUGGGCUGCACACUGCGCUCCAGAGACCUUUCCUGUCCACGAGUCUGCUCCUGAGGCCUCUCCUGACAGUGAAUCCACCCUAGUGCCUCCAGAGGUGGCGGCGUCCACUACAGAACCUCCAGAGGUGGUGGCUUCCACUGCAGAACCUCCCGAGGUGGUGGCGCCCACAUUUAAACUCUCUGUCUGUCCUGUCACGGCCAAGGAGGCCGUCCAUGAACUCUCUGCCUGUCCUGUCACAGCCAAGGAGGCCAUCCAUGAACUUUCUGCCUGUCCUGUCACGGCCAAGGAGGUCGUCCAUGAACUUUCUGCCUGUCCUGCCACGGCCAUGGAGGCAGUUCAUGAACACACUGUCUCUCCUGUUACGGCCAAUGAGGCCAUCCAUGAACUCUCUGCCUGUCCCUUCACGCCCAAGGAGGCCGUCCAUGAACUCUCUGCCUGUCCUGCCAUGGCCAUGGAGGCAGUUCAUGAACUCACUGUCUGUCCCGUUAUGGCCAAGAAGGCCAUGCAUGAACUCACUGCCUGUCCCGUUACGGCCAAGGAGGCCGUGCAUGAACUCACUGCCUGUAUUGCCACGGCCAAGGAGGCCACUCAUGAACUCCCUGUCUGUCCUGUCAUGGCCACGAAGGCCAUUCAAGAACUCUCUGCCUGUCCUGUCAUGACCAAGUGGUCUGUCCAUGUCUCUGCUCCACCAUGGCUUCCUGCUCUGCAGGCACCGCCUAGCCACCCCGCUCUGCUUGCUCCACCAUGGCUCCCCGUUCAUGAACUCACUGUCUGUCCCGUUAGACCAAGUGGUCUGCUCCACGGCCCAGGUCCCCCUCUACUCCAUUGUCUGUCACUGCUCCACGGCCCAGGUCCCCCUCUGCUCCAUUGUCUGUCAUUGCCUCAUGAUCCGGAUCCACGACUGCUCCUAGCUCCAGGCCCGCCAUUGCUCCACCCUCCAGGUCCUGUUUCUUUUCACAGGCCUGGCCCUCCAUCCCUCCCCCUGUUCCGCCUCUGCUUUUCUUGUCAUGUGACCUGUAUUGUUUGUUAUAAGUAG